rnacentral:pre_miRNA from 1 species
AGCCUUUUGAAUCCAUGCAGAGAUUUCGUCAGACACCAACCCAUUAGGACUGAUUGGAUUUUCAAGGUAACUGAAGUU